rnacentral:rRNA from 1 species
GACGAACGCUGGCGGCGUGCUUAACACAUGCAAGUCGAACGGAAAGGCCCUGCUUUGGUUGCGUGCGCGAGUGACGAACGGGUGAGUAACACGUGAGUAACCUGCCAUUGACUUUGAGCUAACUUCAGGAAACUGGGGCUAAUAACGGAUAGGAGCUCCGGCUGCAUGGUGGGGGUAGGAAAGUUUCGGCGGUGGGGGAUGGACUCGCGGCUUAUCAGUUUGUUGGUGGGGUAGUGGCUUACCAAGGCUUUGACGGGUAGCCGGCCGGGGGGGUGGACCGGCAACAUGGGACCUGGGUACCGGCCCGACCUCCACCGGGAGGCAGCAGUGGGAAAUUUUGCACAAUGGGCGGAAGCCUGAUGCAGCAACGCCGCGGGCGGAAUGCCGGCCUUGGGGUGGUAAACGGCUUUCGCCGGUGACGAAGUGUGUGUGACGGUAAUUGGUGAAGAAGCACCGGCUAACUACGUG